AAUGAACGCUGGCGGCAUGCCUAACACAUGCAAGUCGAACGAGACCUUCGGGUCUAGUGGCGCACGGGUGCGUAACGCGUGGGAACCUGCCCUUAGGUUCGGAAUAACUCCCCGAAAGGGGUGCUAAUACCGGAUAAUGUCUUCGGACCAAAGAUUUAUCGCCUUUGGAUGGGCCCGCGUUGGAUUAGCUAGUUGGUAGGGUAAAAGCCUACCAAGGCGACGAUCCAUAGCUGGUCUGAGAGGAUGAUCAGCCACACUGGGACUGAGACACGGCCCAGACUCCUGCGGGAGGCAGCAGUGGGGAAUACUGGACAAUGGGCGAAAGCCUGAUGCAGCAAUGCCGCGUGAGUGAUGAAGGCCUUAGGGUUGUAAAGCUCUUUUACACGGGAUGAUAAUGACAGUACCGGGAGAAUAAGCGCCGGCUAACUCCGUG
rnacentral:rRNA from 1 species